GAUGAACGCUGGCGGCGUGCUUAACACAUGCAAGUCGAACGAAGCACUUUAUUUGAUUUCAUUCGGGACUGAUUAUUUUGUGACUGAGUGGCGGACGGGUGAGUAACGCGUGGGUAACCUGCCUUGUACAGGGGGAUAACAGUUGGAAACGGCUGCUAAUACCGCAUAAGCGCACGGCAUCGCAUGAUGCAGUGUGAAAAACUCCGGUGGUAUAAGAUGGACCCGCGUUGGAUUAGCUAGUUGGUGAGGUAACGGCCCACCAAGGCGACGAUCCAUAGCCGACCUGAGAGGGUGACCGGCCACAUUGGGACUGAGACACGGCCCAAACUCCUACGGGAGGCAGCAGUGGGGAAUAUUGCACAAUGGGCGAAAGCCUGAUGCAGCGACGCCGCGUGAGCGAAGAAGUAUUUCGGUAUGUAAAGCUCUAUCAGCAGGGAAGAUAAUGACGGUACCUGACUAAGAAGCACCGGCUAAAUACGUG
rnacentral:rRNA from 1 species